rnacentral:tRNA from 1 species
CAGAAAAUAGUUUAAUUAAAAUAUUAAUUUUGGAGAUUAAUGAUAGACUAUUCUUUUUCUGA